rnacentral:rRNA from 1 species
GUAGGUGGCAAGCGUUGUCCGGAUUUACUGGGCGUAAAGAGCGCGCAGGCGGUCGUUCAAGUCGCGUGUGAAAGCCCCCGGCUCAACUGGGGAGGGUCACGCGAUACUGAUCGACUCGAAGGCAGGAGAGGGAAGUGGAAUUCCCGGUGUAGUGGUGAAAUGCGUAGAUAUCGGGAGGAACACCAGUGGCGAAGGCGACUUCCUGGCCUGUUCUUGACGCUGAGGCGCGAAAGCUAGGGGAGCGAACGGGAUUAGAUACCCCGGUAGUCCUAGCCGUAAACGAUGGACACUAGGUGUUGGUGGUAUCAACCCCGCCAGUGCCGAAGCUAACGCAUUAAGUGUCCCGCCUGGGGAGUACGGCCGCAAGGCUA